rnacentral:rRNA from 1 species
GAUGAACGCUGACAGAAUGCUUAACACAUGCAAGUCGAUUCAAGUUACCUUCGGGUAACGAGGAUGGCGGACGGGUGAGUAACGCGUAAGGAACUUGCCUCUUGGUCUGGGAUAACUGUUGGAAACGACAGCUAAUACCGGAUAUUAUGAGAUUCUCGCAUGGGAAACUUAUGAAAGCUAUAUGCGCCAAGAGAGAGCCUUGCGUUCCAUUAGCUAGUUGGUGGGGUAACGGCCCACCAAGGCGACGAUGGAUAGCCGGCCUGAGAGGGUGAACGGCCACAAGGGGACUGAGACACGGCCCUUACUCCUACGGGAGGCAGCAGUGGGGAAUAUUGGACAAUGGGCCACAAGCCUGAUCCAGCAAUUCUGUGUGCACGAUGAAGGUCUUCGGAUUGUAAAGUGCUUUCAGUUGGGAAGAAGUAAGUGACGGUACCAACAGAAGAAGCGACGGCUAAAUACGUGCCAGCCGCCGCCGUAA